GCAUUGAUGGUUCUCUAGUAGAAUUCUUGCCUUCCAUGCAGGAGACCUGGGUUUGAUUCCUGACCAAGGCA
rnacentral:tRNA from 1 species